GUACAGCUUCUCUGCCCAAUGGGAUCGUCACAUUUGUUAUUGGCACAGUAAAACUCGGUCCCUCUGAAACACAAGAAUGUUAUCUUUUAAGCAUGUAGUUCAGUCUACUUUAUCGCAAAAAAGCAUGCUUAGCAACUGGAUAACGACUCAUUUGCUUCUCCGUUCUCGUCGGUUCUAUAAAAUUAAUAAACGUUCGCACACUAACAACAAAACAGUCUUUCUAAUGUCAUUUAUACUUAUGUGUCUCGGAAGAAAAAGAGCGUCAACUUCUAAUUCAUGAAGUGCCCCUUAAUGUUACAGUGGGUUCCAGCAGUACGUACGGCCAAUUGAAAUUGUAUUUUGAUACAUAAGUGAUGGACUUAUUAAUGAUAACAGUUCAUCAAAAAUAUCUAUGCUCAUUCCAAAAUAAACGGCAAAUUUGAAAGGAUAAAUUCUUCACUCAUUGUAUAG
rnacentral:misc_RNA from 1 species